AGUCGGACAAUUGCUUUCUUGAUCUAUUUGGGUUUUACUUUUGCAUUUCUUUCAGUUUCAUUACUCUUAAAUGAAGUCUAGAGAAUGAAAUUUCAGUGCACCUACACUAUGGAAUAUUUUGAUUUUUCUGUCUCCCAACCCCAGAAUUCCCUAACCUUUCUCAGCCAAGACUGGAUGGUCAAACAAGUCAAAAGGGUCUGGGAGAGAAUUCAGAAGAUGUGCUGCCCCCUGUAGCCCAGGAAUGAAAGGUUUGGAAUGAAGAAGAACCCCUGAGAUUAAUACCAACAACAAAACAUUGCAACACAGUGUUCCAGUUCAAAGUGGCACACACACCUUUUCCUAGGUGUCCAUUCUCCUUGUCUUCAGUUUUUCAACUUUCUCCUAGACAUUCAGCAAUCUGGUAACUGAAGAUGCUCAAUUCUCAUUAGGGUACUUUGGGCUUUGUGGUUGUUGCUCUCAUCCUUUAGAGCAGUGGUCUACAACUCCCAGAAAUCCCAUCCAGUUUACCAGCUGUUAGGAUUUCUGAGAGUUGAAGGCCAAAAACAUCUGGGGACCCUAGGUUGAGAAUCACUGUUGAAGAGAAUCACUGAUGCUUUCCCAGUUCCUGGUCCUUGGUAAUGUAUAUUCAAAGGAUAUGCCCUCAUACACAAAGGCAUGGUGUGUGUAUUCACAAAUGAUCAUAUUCCCCCUAUUGUAAUCUUAUGUCCGAGCAUUCAUUUCCUAAGAAAACUCUGUGAAAUUCAUGGGCUUGGCAUAAGUCAACAGGUGACUUGAAGGCACAUGCAAUGUAAGCACAUAAUAGCCCCAAAGUCAAAACAACUUAGAAUUCUUCAUCACAACAAAUCUCUGAGAUGCUGUCCUCCAGGAUGUGUCAAAGCCAGCCAACUGCAUUGUGCACUAGAUUAAGACUCCGUAACCUGGUGUUUUAUAGCAGUAUUAUACUAUGACCUUUCAGAAGCUCCCAGGAAGCUGGGAAGAUCUGGGAGUUGUAAGACAACCCAUUCGGAAAACAUAAUGUAAGAGAAGUUUAGAAUGGAUGAAGGAAAAGCAAGUAUAGUCAAUAAAUAUUUGUUCUCCAGUA